rnacentral:rRNA from 1 species
GUGGGGAAUAUUGGACAAUGGGCGAAAGCCUGAUCCAGCCAUGCCGCGUGAGUGAUGAAGGCCUUAGGGUUGUAAAGCUCUUUCAGUAGGGAAGAUAAUGACGGUACCUACAGAAGAAGCCCCGGCUAACUUCGUGCCAGCAGCCGCGGUAAUACGAAGGGGGCUAGCGUUGUUCGGAUUUACUGGGCGUAAAGCGCACGUAGGCGGAUUGGGCAGUUAGAGGUGAAAUCCUGGAGCUCAACUCCAGAACUGCCUUUAAUACUGCCAGUCUAGAGUCCAGAAGAGGUGAGUGGGACUCCUAGUGUAGAGGUGGAAUUCGUAGAUAUUAGGAAGAACACCAGUGGCGAAGGCGGCUCACUGGUCUGGUACUGACGCUGAGGUGCGAAAGCGUGGGGAGCAAACAGGAUUAGAUACCCGUGUAGUCC